rnacentral:tRNA from 1 species
AUUUACAUAAUUUAAAAAAAAUAUUGAUUUGUGGAAUCAAAAAUAUAAUUAUAUAAUUAUUGUAAAUA